rnacentral:rRNA from 1 species
GUCUACGGCCAUGCCACCCUGAGCAAGCCCGAUCCCGUCUGGUCUCGGAAGCUAAGCAUGGUCGGGCCUGAUUAGUACUUGGAUGGGAGACCACCUGGGAAGACCAGGUGCUAUAGGUG